rnacentral:rRNA from 1 species
GUGAGGAAUAUUGGUCAAUGGGCGAGAGCCUGAACCAGCCAAGUCGCGUGAAGGAAGAAGGAUCUAUGGUUCGUAAACUUCUUUUGCAGGGGAAUAAAGUGCAGGACGUGUCCUGUUUUGUAUGUACCCUGAGAAUAAGGAUCGGCUAACUCCGUGCCAGCAGCCGCGGUAAUACGGAGGAUCCGAGCGUUAUCCGGAUUUCUUGGGUUUAAAGGGUGCGGAGGAGGUUUGAUAAGUCAGCGGUGAAAGUUUGCAGCUUAACUGUAAAAAUGGCGUUGAAGCUGUCGGACUUGAGUGUAAAUGAGGUAGGCGGAAUGCGUGGUGUAGCGGUGAAAUGCAUAGAUAUCACGCAGAACUCCGAUUGCGAAGGCAGCUUACUAAGCUACAACUGACACUGAAGCACGAAAGCGUGGGGAUCAAACAGGAUUAGAAACCCGUGUAGUCC